rnacentral:lncRNA from 1 species
CCCAUGGGAAACUGUUCAGCGCAGGAAAGUUCUCAACAAGGGUGAACAAGUAAUGGUCGACCACUUUCUUAUAAUCUCUAGGAAAUAAGUAUGCAGUAAUGAAGUACAGGAUACCAAUGAGUGCAACAUCAUUUUCAGGAGAGUUUCAACAAGAUCCAGAUCAUGUAUUUGGCAAGUAGAUAUGAAUGUGGAUUUCACAUCUUCAUGUGUCAUGGUAUCCACUUGAGAAAAGUACUUUUUCUUCAGUUGUGACGGUCUACUUUC